GACUUUUUUAAGUUCUAAAAUUUCCAUUUAAUUCUUUUUAAUCGUUUUCUAUUUCUUAACUGACACUUCCUGUAUUUCCAUUAGUGUAGAAACUGUUUACCUUUACCUCAUGGAGCAAGGGUAUGAUAGCUGCUUUAAAGUAUUUAUCUGAUCACUUGAACAUCCGAUCAUUUUUUCUUUCUGGGAAUUUUUUAUUUUUCCUUUUCCUCCCAAAGCCCCCCUGUACAUAGGUGUGUAUUUUUAGUUAUGGGUCCUUCCAUUUGUGGCAUGUGUGAUGCCACCUCAGUGUGGCUUGAUGAGUGGUGCCGUGUCCUCACCCAGGAUCCGAACUGUUGAAACCCUGGCUGCCAAAGCAGAGCACGAUAACUUAACCACCUGGCAGCGGGGCCAGCCCCCAUCUGAUCAUUUUGAGGUUAGAAUAUUUUGGUUGUCUGUUCCCUUGAGAAUUCGUCAUAUUUUCAUACUUUUGUCUAUUAUACUCAAGUCAAAUGAAAAGCCAAAUCUAAAUUUACAUGAAAAUAACAUCACCAGAAAGAACAUAGUCCAGUCCAGUUGUGGUUGAGUCUUGGUUUUGGAGAUAGAUUUAGCAGAUUACUUUCAUACAAUAGCAUUAAACAAUUUAAAUGUACAAUUUAUUUUUCUCUUGAUUCUGUUUCUUUGCUCACUAAAGAGACUUUUGUUAUAACUUGUCUUUCCUUGUGUAACUCCUACAUUUAUACACUAGGUUUUUAUGGAUGUAUUUAUUCUCCAGAGGUAAUUAAGGUUCUGGGGAGGAUAUAAAUAUCUUCAAGCAUCUUAUAAAAAGACUAAACUCUACAUCUGUUAUUUCUCACAUAUUUGUACUCUAUACUAAUGGGAAAUCAAUACAUUGAUUUUUAUUCCUUGAAUUGAUAUUUUUAUUGCCCAAGAGGACAGAGCUAACACCCUUUCUGGAUUGAAUUAUUAAGAAAUAAAAAUUCCUUCUAGAAGAUAUUUCCUGGAUGGACCAUAGAAUUUUAUAGUAUGUUGAAGGUAGUAGUUGGAUUAUAAUAGAUUCCAGAGAUGCUGAGAGCCUCUUAAAAGAUAGUUGAAUAAUUUAAUUAAAUAAGAUAAUAUAUGUAAAAUAUUUGACAAUUCCUGAAGUGUCAUAGCAACCUUAGUUAUUAUUUUUAUCUACUGGAUUUAUAAUUAAGCAUCUACUUUAAAGCCCAUGCUCCUUCUGUUUCAUCACGCUCCAUUUCUUCAUUUGCUUGUUGUCUGAAUUUACUUCCUCCAAAAUUGAUCCUUCUAAUUGCCCUACACCUUACCACCAAUCAAAAACACAAAUAUAAUUAUGUCAAUACUGUGCUUUAAGCAUUUAAUCACCCUCCAUUAUUAACAAACCAAAAUUGCAGGUCAGUAAUAUGUAAAUGAUGCGUCAUCAUUUGCAAUCACACAUAUGCCUCUUGUUCUCUAGACACUGAAAAUACUUGCAGUUCCCAGCACAUCAUGUGCUCUUUCAAACCUCUUGAGUUAUGAUAUCCUGUUUCUUCUUCCAUCUGAUUUUUUUGUUGAGCCAUUAUUUAUCUUUGAAGAUGCAUCUGUCAUGUCUUCCUUGAUGGCCCCAGAAAAAAAACUAGAAAAUCCCACUUUCCAUCCUUUCACAAAAUAUAAUUAUCUUUAGGUCAUAACACAUGCUAUUGUAAUUGCUUACUCCUAAAGACUUACUUGGCACAAGCUAAGCAUUCGAAUCAUGUUAACUGAAUGAUGCAGGGAGGAAGAAUGGAAGAAAAGAAGGAAGGAAGGAAAUAAGGAAGUAAACGGGAGAGAGGAUGACCAAUAAGCUAUAGGAGUACCUGCAACCAGGCAGGCUUUAUGUUUAAAAUACUAGACAGUCUGCUCCUUCAUUUUAUUCUACCAUAAAACAAAAAAAUAGUGAAACUGCUGUGUUCAAAAAAUUCUGUUUAGUCUAAAUUUGAUGCACUGGGUUCUGUCCCCACUUAAGAGGACUGAAAAAGGCAUUUCACCAGCAGUGAUUGUCACUGUUAGGAAAUUUUAUUUUCAUAAUAAAAUCAAGAGCCUGUGCUGACUUUGCCGCACUCAUCACAGAGCUGCGAUAUCUGUCUCAGCUGUGAAAUUUCAGGGUUUUAAUGGUCACAUUUUUCACAAUCACCUUGUAUUUGCUCUCAUGAUAAAUGUUUGAAGUUGCUUCUAGUAACCUAAGUAUCUUUGAAGCAGGCCGAGGAAAGACCUUACUUCAUACAAUUUCUACCUUCCUUAACUUGAAAGGUGAAGAGAGUUUUUCAACAUAUAUGUGCUGAUAAAGACAAUAUUAAGGUUUUUAUGUUAGCUUAUAUAGUGCCUUUUCUAUGGUGAUUCCUACGAGAAACGUCUCUGGAUAUCGUAGAAGGGAUAGCUGUACUUCUCUGAAGCAACAGGACAGUUUUUAUCUUUUUGUCACCAUGCAUUGCAUAGCUGGAUAAUAUUCCUUUCCUCACUUUCACUGCUGGAAAACUUGUAAUAAAAUUUGGGGACUCUCCUUCACAAGAAUAUAGACUCCUGUUGUCUGUAUAACUGUGCUCCUGUUUGCAUAAUUCAGUCCUAGCUUUGCUUUACCUUUCCUGUCAUUUUUCCAUUUAUUUAUUUUUGUUUGUUCAGAAACUGAGACAAAAAGUUCUUACCAACUGGGUCAGUGGAACAUAAAGCAAGCAGAUUCUACCUUUCUUUUUGCUUAUCAUUCCUGCUGUCCAUGUUGAAUGGUGAAUUAGAAUGUAGUUAUUGCAUGGAAAGAAAGUAAUUGGAGGGCUUAAAGUACUCAAAAUUUAUCAGCAUGAAGACUAGCAUCUUUUAUGGCCAUUUUUAUUACUUGGUGUCCUGUUUUCUGGGUUAUUUCUGUAUUGUAUUUGUAAGCCUAAGAUAAAUGGAUUAGAAUUUUUAGGAGUUCCUGAUGGUGAUCGUUUCCUUCUGGUUAAUUUCAUUUGUGGAGCAGAAAUAAUCAAUAAGUAUCUUCUUUCAUAGUCUUUUCUUCUAAGACAUUUUGACAGUUUUAUUUUUAUAUCACUGUGUAUUCCUCAAGUUUUCAAUGAUUAUAAAAUUGUUGUGCUGGAAAUUUAAAUCAUCAUUGUGUUAAUGCGAAAUAUGUAGGUGAAAAAGACAUCGUAGUAAGUUAAGGCACUGACCUCAAGGCCUUGAGUCCUGUCAUGGUUUCUGUGCCAUGAAGUGAAAGGGCUUUUCCUGUUUGGUUCCCAGAUAACAUCUCCAUGGGUUCUGUGGCCUUGAGUGUGGUCACCAUCAUCUAUUAAGAAUUUUCACUCUCUGUAGGUCACUAGAAAUUUUGUUUUUAUUUUUAAUAUGUUUCAUGUUGUCUUGUUAAUCAAACUGACAUAUAUUUGUUAUGUUGUUACUGAAUGUGAUUUUUGCCUCACAGUGAAUUCUUUGUUUUUAUAUUAUUCUGACUUAUUUGCGGCAUACACUCUUUGGUAGGUGACAACAUAGCAAUGUAGAAAUGUAGCUUUGACAGCAGAUGCAAUAUUUCCC
rnacentral:lncRNA from 1 species